rnacentral:rRNA from 1 species
UACGUAGGGUGCAAGCGUUGUCCGGAAUUACUGGGCGUAAAGUGCACGUAGGCGGAUUUGUAAGUCAGGGGUGAAAUCCCGGGGCUCAACCUCGGAACUGCCUUUGAUACUGCAAAUCUCGAGUCCGGAAGAGGUGAGUGGAAUUCCUAGUGUAGAGGUGAAAUUCGUAGAUAUUCGCAAGAACACCAGUGGCGAAGGCGGCUCACUGGCCCGAUACUGACGCUGAGGCACGAAAGCGUGGGGAGCAAACAGG